UAGUAGCCCUGAUUGGAGCGGCAUCCUUUUACAAAGCUUCGAGCUUUUAAAAGCGGGAAGCUUUGUAAAAGAUAGAGCGGAAAGCAGGACAAAAA
rnacentral:sRNA from 1 species